rnacentral:rRNA from 1 species
GGGUUGUGAGGUUAAGCGACUAAGCGUACACGGUGGAUGCCCUGGCAGUCAGAGGCGAUGAAGGACGUGCUAAUCUGCGAUAAGCGUCGGUAAGGUGAUAUGAACCGUUAUAACCGGCGAUUUCCGAAUGGGGAAACCCAGUGUGUUUCGACACACUAUCAUUAACUGAAUCCAUAGGUUAAUGAGGCGAACCGGGGGAACUGAAACAUCUAAGUACCCCGAGGAAAAGAAAUCAACCGAGAUUCCCCCAGUAGCGGCGAGCGAACGGGGAGCAGCCCAGAGCCUGAAUCAGUGUGUGUGUUAGUGGAAGCGUCUGGAAAGGCGCGCGAUACAGGGUGACAGCCCCGUACACAAAAAUGCACAUGCUGUGAGCUCGAUGAGUAGGGCGGGACACGUGGUAUCCUGUCUGAAUAUGGGGGGACCAUCCUCCAAGGCUAAAUACUCCUGACUGACCGAUAGUGAACCAGUACCGUGAGGGAAAGGCGAAAAGAACCCCGGCGAGGGGAGUGAAAAAGAACCUGAAACCGUGUACGUACAAGCAGUGGGAGCACGCUUAGGCGUGUGACUGCGUACCUUUUGUAUAAUGGGUCAGCGACUUAUAUUCUGUAGCAAGGUUAACCGAAUAGGGGAGCCGAAGGGAAACCGAGUCUUAACUGGGCGUUAAGUUGCAGGGUAUAGACCCGAAACCCGGUGAUCUAGCCAUGGGCAGGUUGAAGGUUGGGUAACACUAACUGGAGGACCGAACCGACUAAUGUUGAAAAAUUAGCGGAUGACUUGUGGCUGGGGGUGAAAGGCCAAUCAAACCGGGAGAUAGCUGGUUCUCCCCGAAAGCUAUUUAGGUAGCGCCUCGUGAAUUCAUCUCCGGGGGUAGAGCACUGUUUCGGCAAGGGGGUCAUCCCGACUUACCAACCCGAUGCAAACUGCGAAUACCGGAGAAUGUUAUCACGGGAGACACACGGCGGGUGCUAACGUCCGUCGUGAAGAGGGAAACAACCCAGACCGCCAGCUAAGGUCCCAAAGUCAUGGUUAAGUGGGAAACGAUGUGGGAAGGCCCAGACAGCCAGGAUGUUGGCUUAGAAGCAGCCAUCAUUUAAAGAAAGCGUAAUAGCUCACUGGUCGAGUCGGCCUGCGCGGAAGAUGUAACGGGGCUAAACCAUGCACCGAAGCUGCGGCAGCGACGCUUAUGCGUUGUUGGGUAGGGGAGCGUUCUGUAAGCCUGUGAAGGUGUGCUGUGAGGCAUGCUGGAGGUAUCAGAAGUGCGAAUGCUGACAUAAGUAACGAUAAAGCGGGUGAAAAGCCCGCUCGCCGGAAGACCAAGGGUUCCUGUCCAACGUUAAUCGGGGCAGGGUGAGUCGACCCCUAAGGCGAGGCCGAAAGGCGUAGUCGAUGGGAAACAGGUUAAUAUUCCUGUACUUGGUGUUACUGCGAAGGGGGGACGGAGAAGGCUAUGUUGGCCGGGCGACGGUUGUCCCGGUUUAAGCGUGUAGGCUGGUUUUCCAGGCAAAUCCGGAAAAUCAAGGCUGAGGCGUGAUGACGAGGCACUACGGUGCUGAAGCAACAAAUGCCCUGCUUCCAGGAAAAGCCUCUAAGCAUCAGGUAACAUCAAAUCGUACCCCAAACCGACACAGGUGGUCAGGUAGAGAAUACCAAGGCGCUUGAGAGAACUCGGGUGAAGGAACUAGGCAAAAUGGUGCCGUAACUUCGGGAGAAGGCACGCUGAUAUGUAGGUGAAGUCCCUCGCGGAUGGAGCUGAAAUCAGUCGAAGAUACCAGCUGGCUGCAACUGUUUAUUAAAAACACAGCACUGUGCAAACACGAAAGUGGACGUAUACGGUGUGACGCCUGCCCGGUGC